rnacentral:rRNA from 1 species
GAGCUUGCGGGAAAAGGGGGGACCUUUAGGCCUUCUGUCAUUGGAUGAGUCCGCGUCCCAUUAGCUAGUUGGCGGUGUAAUAGACCACCAAGGCGACGAUGGGUAGCUGGUCUGAGAGGAUGAUCAGCCACACUGGAACUGAGACACGGUCCAGACUCCUACGGGAGGCAGCAGUGGGGGAAUUUUGCGCAAUGGGGGAAACCCUGACGCAGCAACGCCGCGUGAGUGAUGAAGGCCUUCGGGUCGUAAAGCUCUGUCGGAAGGGAAGAAAUGGCAUAAUCGUUAAUCACCAUUGUGCCUUGACGGUACCUUCAAAGGAAGCACCGGCUAACUCCGUGCCAGCAGCCGCGGUAA